rnacentral:tRNA from 1 species
GGCUAGGUAGCUCAGUUGGUAGAGCAGCGGACUGAAAAUCCGCGUGUCGGCGGUUCGAUUCCGUCCCUGGCCACCA